GUGCUCACUGAAGCAGUGCAUAUACUAAUAUUGGAACAAUACAGAGAAGAUUAGCAUGACACCUGCUCAGCGAUGUCAUACAAAUUCAGGAAACAUUUUGUAUUUUA
ensembl:snRNA U6 U6 spliceosomal RNA